rnacentral:misc_RNA from 1 species
UGUACAUAAUAAGGGGUGACAACAUAAGCGUUGUUGGGGAACUGGAUGAAGAGCUUGAUUCACAUAUUGACUUAUCAAACCUAAGAGCUCAUCCUCUCAAGCCAGUCAUCCAUUGAUCACUAUGAAUGAAUAUGUGGGUUUUUGUUGUAGUGCAGAUUAUGGGCUAAAUGCAAAAUGUUACAUUGGUUUAAGUCUCAAUGGUUGUAGACCGAGACCUAAUUUAAUCGAAAUUCUGCUGGUCUUAUUUUCUCUUUUAACUUUGUUGGCAUCAUUGUGCUUUGUAUACUUUUUAAAUAUUGGUGUUAGUUGUCUUUCCAAU